rnacentral:rRNA from 1 species
AUUGAACGCUGGCGGCAUGCCUUACACAUGCAAGUCGAACGGCAGCACGGGAGCAAUCCUGGUGGCGAGUGGCGAACGGGUGAGUAAAGCAUCGGAACGUGCCCAGUCGUGGGGGAUAACGUAGCGAAAGCUACGCUAAUACCGCAUACGAUCUGUGGAUGAAAGCGGGGGACCGUAAGGCCUCGCGCGAUUGGAGGGGCCGAUGUCAGAUUAGGUAGUUGGUGAGGUAAAGGCUCACCAAGCCGACGAUCUGUAGCUGGUCUGAGAGGACGACCAGCCACACUGGGACUGAGACACGGCCCAGACUCCUACGGGAGGCAGCAGUGGGGAAUUUUGGACAAUGGGCGCAAGCCUGAUCCAGCAAUGCCGCGUGCAGGAUGAAGGCCUUCGGGUUGUAAACUGCUUUUGUACGGAGCGAAACGGCUUCCACUAAUACUGGGGGCUAAUGACGGUACCGUAAGAAUAAGCACCGGCUAACUACGUGCCAGCCGCCGCCGUAAAAC